ACUACGGGUGGCAGCAGUGGGGAAUAUUGGGCAAUGGGCGCAAGCCUGACCCAGCAACGCCGCGUGAAGGAAGAAGGCUCUCGGGUUGUAAACUUCUUUUAUCAGGGACGAAGCAAGUGACGGUACCUGAUGAAUAAGCCACGGCUAACUACGUGCCAGCAGCCGCGGUAAUACGUAGGUGGCAAGCGUUAUCCGGAUUUAUUGGGGUUAAAGGGGGCGCAGGCGGAUUUUUAAGUCAGCGGUCAAAUCGUGGUGCUCAACCCCAUCCAGCCGUUGAAACUGGGGAUCUAGAGUGUGCGAGAGGUAGGCGGAAUGCGUGGUGUAGCGGUGAAAUGCAUAGAUAUCACGCAGAACCCCGAUUGCGAAGGCAGCAUACCGGUGCACAACUGACGCUCAGGCACGAAAGCGUGGGUAUCGAACAGGAUUAGAUACCCGAGUAGUC
rnacentral:rRNA from 1 species